UGCAUGGUUGUCGUCAGCUCGUGUCGUGAGAUGUUGGGUUAAGUCCCGCAACGAGCGCAACCCUUAAGCUUAGUUGCCAUCAUUAAGUUGGGCACUCUAAGUUGACUGCCGGUGACAAACCGGAGGAAGGUGGGGAUGACGUCAAAUCAUCAUGCCCCUUAUGAUUUGGGCUACACACGUGCUACAAUGGACAAUACAAAGGGCAGCGAAACCGCGAGGUCAAGCAAAUCCCAUAAAGUUGUUCUCAGUUCGGAUUGUAGUCUGCAACUCGACUACAUGAAGCUGGAAUCGCUAGUAAUCGUAGAUCAGCAUGCUACGGUGAAUACGUUCCCGGGUCUUGUACACACCGCCCGUCACACCACGAGAGUUUGUAACACCCGA
rnacentral:rRNA from 1 species